rnacentral:rRNA from 1 species
AAGCCUGCUUCAAGAUGAGAUUUCCCCUGAGGUGUCCAGUAGACGACUGGGUUGAUAGGCCAGAUGUGGAAGCACAGCAAUGUGCGCAGCUGACUGGUACUAAUACACCAAUCACUCACCCAACAA